GAUGAACGCUGGCGGCGUGCCUAACACAUGCAAGUCGAACGGACCAUGCUCGACAGAGGUACUUGUACCGAAGAAGAGCGCUGGUUAGUGGCGGACGGGUGAGUAACACGUGGGUAAUUAACCUUCUAGACUGGGAUAACAACGGGAAACUGGUGCUAAUACCGGAUAAGAUUCAUAAGUGGCAUCACUAAUGGAUGAAAAGAGGCCUCUCCAAGGAAGCUCCUGCUAGAAGACGAGCCCGCGGCUGAUUAGCUAGUUGGUAAGGUAAAGGCUUACCAAGGCGACGAUCAGUAGCCGGCCUGAGAGGGUGAGCGGCCACACUGGGACUGAGACACGGCCCAGACUCCUACGGGAGGCAGCAGUGGGGAAUAUUGCGCAAUGGGGGAAACCCUGACGCAGCAACGCCGCGUGAAUGAAGAAGGCCUUCGGGUUGUAAAGUUCUGUCAAUUGGGAAGAAACCUCUAUGGUCAAUAGCUAUAGAGAUGACGGUACCUAAGAAGGAAGCUCCGGCUAACUACGUGCCAGCAGCCGCGGUAAGAC
rnacentral:rRNA from 1 species